rnacentral:misc_RNA from 1 species
UUUAGGGAGACCUUACCCCCAUUUCCUUAAGCUUUAGGAUAAAUGCCUAGAGCACGCAGAGGAGUGGUUGGUCAUCUCAAGGUCGGUGAGGGUUGGAUCUAAGGCUUUCAAACUUGUCUGGUUUAAGUUUCUUGCAGUGAGGCAAGCCGAGCUUUUGGGUUCGGUUUCGCCCCCUGCAAGUUUCUCGUCCAGUUGAUACAGUAGUGUUUGUGAGCGAUCCGAAUUGAUUUCUGAAUUCACAACGCUAAGACUAUUGACUUCAGCACCUCAUUUAGUAAUAGUUUUGCUAGACUAAAGAGACUGCUGGAUAGAAUGCCAGCCAGAACCUUGAAAAUUACAUAGCAACUUGUCAGGUAGAUACCAUCGUUUGUAGUUUAUUCAGCAUUUCAAGCAAUGAAUAAAGACGAACGACAGAUAUCACAGACACCAAUGUAAGUUUGU